rnacentral:misc_RNA from 1 species
UAGCAACUAGGAAUUUUCUUACUACAUCGAGAUAUAUGAUCAUCCAAUCAAUAAAAAACUAUACAGCUCAACAUAAUUUUAACUCGGCCGGGUGUAGGAAAGAGGGCAACUAUACACAGGAUGACAAUUGUAGCAAGUCAUCAACUCACGCUGUUGAAGGAAGAGAAUUCGAAGAACAAGGAAUUUAAGAAACUAUUAAUAAUUUUUCAAAAGAAUAUUUCAUUAAAUUGUAAAUUUCUUUUUGCUGUACAUGAUUUUGCAUUUCUCAUACCUAGAGAACCAAUGCCAAACUCUAUCAGCAGUCAGUCUACAGUCCUUUAGUUGCACCAAAUAGGAAAAAAAAUCUGGCACCAUGAACAUCAAUUCGGUAAAUUUUCUUGACAACGCCAAAUGGUUGACAUUAAAAUGGAAUUGUAUAGGGUAAUGCGUAGACAUCUGCUUGGUGCAAGUAGCAUGCACUUGGCCAGAGGGUAGAGCUUUCAAGGCGUGGUUCAUCUGGGUGAGAUUUAAAUCUUUUAGAUGUACGAGUUUCUUGCUUUUUCGUCUGAAAAAGCCAUUCUUCAUCAUCAAAAUUUGUUUGCUCCAACUCAAUAGCUGGUGGAACCCAAUCCUCAAUCAAAGACUUGUAAAGGGCCUCCGCUGUUUGCACCUCCUUCCUAUGGGACAACAUCCCAGAAUCAGUUUUGACAAAAUGAACAGCAGAGUUUUCAUGCCGUUUUAAAUCUCUCCUACAAUUAUUGGAGUUGCCGGCACUACACUGUCCUUUAACAAGCAUUUGGAUAAUUUUCUUCUGCUGCAGAUUAGAAUCUGACCUCCCAGAAGUAGAACACAACUGCUCUCCAUUGACAGAUGCAUCCGUCUCCCUAAGCCUUUUCAAUGGCAGCUGAAUACGUAGUAUUAAAUUCCCUGUUUGUUCUUAUAAAAAUUAAAAAAAUUAGGAAUCCCUUGGGAAAUUAUGGAAUUCAUCUAAUCAUGCAUUUCAAAUGAAUAAUAAGGCAGAGACUCACGACUUUUGGUGCCUUUAUAUUCCGAGUCAUCUCCUUUUCUCUCGUUGCUACUCCGAGUGCCGGAUGAAUAGCUAAGGCUCUCAGAACAGACAGGCUGGUCAUGUUCUUCUGUCAAACCACUCCUUUCAGCUUCCUCCUCUUUUCCCUUUGAAGGCAAUCUUUUCUCCAGUUGGUUACAUGUUCCUUCAAUAUACAAGGCUUUCUUGUUUCCUUUCCUUCCCUUUUUGCUUUCUUUCUUCUCCUUCCUUUCCUUUUUAUCAUGUUCUGUUAUGGCCUUCCCCAAAUCCCUCUGGAGCUUUUAUGUACCAAAAUAACAAUUUUAGAAUAGAGGGACAGGGAAGACCAAAGAAUAUGAAUGACCAAACUAAUGAAAUAUCUCUUCAAAGCAACAUGAAAAUCACUUGCCAAUGAGUCCUCACAAAGGUAAGUUACUAUGAUA